CAGUCGCCACGGUAAAACGGAGGGUGCAAGCGUUACUCGGAAUCACUGGGCGUAAAGGACGCGUAGGCGGAUUAUCAAGUCUUUUGUGAAAUCUAACGGCUUAACCGUUAAGCUGCUUGGGAAACUGAUAAUCUAGAGUAAGGGAGAGGCAGAUGGAAUUCUUGGUGUAGGGGUAAAAUCCGUAGAUAUCAAGAAGAAUACCUAUUGCGAAGGCAAUCUGCUGGAACUUAACUGACGCUAAUGCGUGAAAGCGUGGGUAGCAAACAGGAUUAGAGACCCCCGUAGUCCCUGUCUCUUAUAC
rnacentral:rRNA from 1 species